rnacentral:rRNA from 1 species
ACGAACGCUGGCGGCGUGCCUAAUACAUGCAAGUCGAGCGGAAUGAUGAAGAAGCUUGCUUUCUUCUGAUUUUUAGCGGCGGACGGGUGAGUAACACGUGGGCAACCUACCUUGUAGAUUGGGAUAACUCCGGGAAACCGGGGCUAAUACCGAAUAAUCCAUUUUGCUUCAUGGCGAGAUGUUGAAAGACGGUUUCGGCUGUCACUACAAGAUGGGCCCGCGGCGCAUUAGCUAGUUGGUAGGGUAAUGGCCUACCAAGGCGACGAUGCGUAGCCGACCUGAGAGGGUGAUCGGCCACACUGGGACUGAGACACGGCCCAGACUCCUACGGGAGGCAGCAGUAGGGAAUCUUCCACAAUGGACGAAAGUCUGAUGGAGCAACGCCGCGUGAGUGAAGAAGGUUUUCGGGUCGUAAAACUCUGUUGUAAGGGAAGAACACGUACGAGAGUAACUGCUCGUACCUUGACGGUACCUUAUUAGAAAGCCACGGCUAACUACGUG